GCAGGCUGAAAUUACGCCUGUAUGAAGCCGGAAUUGCUAGUAAUGGCAGGUCAGCAUACUGCCGUGAAUACGUUCCCGGGCCUUGUACACACCGCCCGUCACACCAUGAGAGUUGGGGAUACCCAAAGCCCGUGAGCCAACUUAUAAAGAGGCAGCGGUCUAAGGUAGAAUCAAUGAUUGGGGUGAAGUCGUAACAAGGUACC
rnacentral:rRNA from 1 species